rnacentral:tRNA from 1 species
GGUUGUGUAGUGUAGUGGUCAUCACGUCAGAUUUUGAUUUUCUGAGAACCCCAGUUCGAACCCGGGCACGACCU